AGGUUUUGGGGCUAGGGUUAGGUUUAAGGUUUUUGGCGUUAGGGUUAAAAUAACUGUCCAAUAUUUUUUAAGGAACAUGUUUCAGACCUUUGGGAGUUAGUUAGACAAAAAAAAAAAGAAAAAGAAAACAAAAAUAUUUGGGGUGUUCGGGCUUCCUGAAGGUAAUACCCGGGUAUUAGGUUUUGGGGCUAGGGUAAGGUUUAAGGUUUUUGGUGUUAGGGUUAGAAUCACUGUCCAAAACCUUUGUAGGAACUCUUUUCCGACCUUUUGGAGUUAGUUAGACCAAAAAAAAAGAAAAAAGAAAAAAAUAUAUUUGGGGUCUUCGGGCUUCCUGAAGGUAAUGAGGUUAUGGGGCUAGGGUUAGGUUUAAGGUUUUUGGCGUAAGGGUUAAAAUCACUGUCCAAAACCUUUUUAGGAACAUGUUUCAGACCUUUUGGAGUUGGUAACACCAAAAAAAAAUGUAAAAUGAAAAAAAAAUAUUUGGGGUGUUCAAGCUUCCUGAAGGUAAUACCCGGGUAUUAGGUUUUGGGGCUAGGGUAAGGUUUAAGGUUUUUGGCGUUAGGGUUAAAAUCACUGUCCAAAACCUUUUAAGGAACAAGAUUCAGACCUUUUGGAGUUGGUUACACCAAAAAAAAUGUAAAAUGAAAAAAAAAAUAUUUGGGGUGUUCAGGCUUCCUUAAGGUAAUACCCUUCAGGUUUAAGUGUAUUAGGUUAUGGGGCUAGGAUUAGGUUUAAGGUUUUUGGCGUAAGGGUUAAAAUCACUGUCCAAUAUUUUUUAAGGAACAUGUUUCAGACCUUUUGGAGCUAGUUUGACCAAAAAAAAAAAAGAAAAAGAAAAAAUAUAUAUUUGGGGUGUUCGGGCUUCCUGAAGGUAAUACCCGGGUAUUAGGUUAUGGGGCUAGGUUAAGGUUUAAGGUUUUUGGCGUGAGGGUUAAAAUCACUGUCCAAAACCUUUGUAGGAAGUCUUUUCCAACCUUUUGGAGUUAGUUAGACAAAAAAAAAAGAUAAAUGAAAAAAAAAUAUUUGGGGUGUUCGGGCUUCCUGAAGGUAAUACCCAGGUAUUAGGUUAUGGGGCUAGGGUAAGGUUUAAGGUUUUUGGCGUAAGGGUUAAAAUCACUGUCCAAAACCUUUUUAGGAACAUGUUUCAGACCUUUUGGAGUUGGUUACACCAAAAAAAAUGUAAAAUGAAAAAAAAUUUUUUUUGGGUGUUCGGGCUUCCUGAAGGUAAUACUAGGUUUCUGGGCUAGGGUAAUGUUUAAGGUUUUUGGCGUUAGGGUUAAAAUCAAUGUCCAAAACCUUUGUAGGAACUCUUUUCCAACCUUUGAGAGCAAGUUAGACCAGAACAAAAAGAACUAGGGCCCCGGUGGGGCACUGUCGGGCCCGAGCCGCGUCGUGCCGCCCCCAGCGUGACCGCCUCCCCCUCCCGAUCGCGUCACACUCAAGGUCCAAAGAUGGUGUGCGCACUUGUCUGUGGUCAUUUCCCAUUAUAAUGAAUGGGAGGCGCAGUUUCUACCAAAACACUCGCUGCAGACAAACUUCAUGUCCUAUUUGAAAAAAGUCUGGACCAUGAGUGAGGGCACAAACACAGCUGGGAUAUAUCCAAAUGGCAGGUUGCUCCUCGUUACGGUGUUGCCUGGAGAGCGAUGCGAUUGAGCCAUUGAGCGAUGGGCAGGAAAAACUUGACUUUUUCUCCUGCCAUGGGGGGGGGGGAGAAUGUGGAUUCUUUUAAGAAUGUGGAUUUUUUGGUCAUCUUUGGCGCCCCCUAGAACGUAAACCGUGGGGUGCAGCGUCAUGAUUUUUACAACUUUGAAUGGCCAUGGGGUGUAGAUUGGCCUGAGCAAAUUUGGUUUCAGUGGGACGAAAGCCUUAGGAGGAGUUAGCCACAUUCCAAUGUGUGCGAAUCGGCAAAAAAUGCAAAAUAGCCCUCUAACCGUACAUUUGACAGAUACG